rnacentral:misc_RNA from 1 species
GAUGAAGAACGUAGCGAAAUGCGAUAAGUAAUGUGAAUUGCAGAAUUCAGUGAAUCAUCGAAUCUUUGAACGCACAUUGCGCCCCCUGGUAUUCCGGGGGGCAUGCCUGUCCGAGCGUCAUUACAACCCUCAAGCUCAGCUUGGUGUUGGGCCCCGCCGCCCCGGCGGGCCCUAAAGUCAGUGGCGGUGCCGUCCGGCUCCGAGCGUAGUAAUUCUUCUCGCUCUGGAGGUCCGGUCGUGUGCUCGCCAGCAACCCCCAAUUAUUUUCAGGUUGACCUCGGAUCAGGUAGGGAUACCCGCUGAACUUAAGCAUAUCAAUAAGCGGAGGA